AUUACUUACUCGUGAAUCUGUAAGUGCCUGGCUGUACGUUCAGUUCCCAGCAGGAUGCCGGGUACCCGGUGGGUGAGGAGCUGGAAGAGUGUCCAGGUCACCACCUUGUGCGACAUUUGAGGAAACAGAGGCCAGAGAGGACCAGACACACAUGGCUCUUUGGCAGCAGAGGCCGAUUCUGAUCCCAGGUCAUCCCAGGAGACUGCCCACUAUGGUGACAACACAUCUUACUUUUCAGACUGGAAGUCCCGUGUCCCAGAAAUGGCUUCAGUCUCUACUCAAAGACACUUCCACGGCUCCCUGGUGCCUGUGGCAAGCCCAGCCUUCUUUGGCCUCUCCUCUACGGACCACCUUGCCAGCCUGUACCCUCAGAACCUCCGAGCGGCAGCCUGGGCCCGGCUGCAGGAGGGUGACUCCCCACUCUGGUGAAGCAAUUAAGGACAUUUUCAAGUGCUGAGUGGCUGCCGGGAGGCAGCUUUGACCAGGCCCCGACAGAGGAGGCUAACACGGGAUCCUGACGACAGAGCAGGGAACAGAGAGCUCCAUAAAAGCCCUCCCUCCAGCUCUAGGCUAUCACUGCAAGAGGGCUUGUAAAGGUCCUCACUGGGUCCUUGAGAAAACAGGCCCUUUGAUGAGCAGUGAGCUCCAGGCCCGCAGACCUCAAGCUGGAUCGACACAUUGAAGACUCCCAGCCUGCAGUCCUCGGGACUCACAGAUGCUGGGAAAGCAAGUGUUAAAUAAUAAUCACGAUGUGCCGGAGGGGAAGCCGGAUGUGUUGGAAAGCUUGACACAUCUGGCAGGGCCAGCCCUAGUCCCCCGGCACAUCUGGCUGCUGUAUUGACAGGUGGUGCUGUGGGUCACUGAGGAAGGGCCUGGUGGGCCCAGUCCCGGUGCCAUGAGGGUGGGGGGUGAUGGCCGGAUGAAGCUGGGGAGCAUCUCCCACGCUGCCCACAGGCCAUCGUCCUCUUGCCGGUCCCCUUUGGGCCACCUGCUAUACUUUGUUGGCUGUGCUCAAAGAGGCCAACUUAGGACCCAGAACCUCGUCUGCUAGAUUCUAUAAGCCCUGCAACUUGUUGUUGGAGCCAGCCGCCCCUGCCCGGGCUCGGGAAGUCGGGAAAGGCCCCUCCCCUCUUCAGCUGGUGGGGGUGGAUUUUCGGGGUCACCUCACGUAGCACUUCCCUUUCUAUGGAAUCCAGAAAUGUGGUCAUCAGCUCCACCUGAGGGAGCCCCCUGGGCUGAGACGGGCCUCCUCCCUCCUCCCACCUGCCCCAAGAAAGCCAUGGUCAUUAAUAAAGGACACAAUUAGCUGUC